ACCCUACUGCUAUCGGGAUGGGACUAAGCCAUGCGAGUUGUGCGCCUUCGAGCCACGGCAGAGGCGCGGCAUACGGCUCAGUAACACGUGGCUAACCUACCCUUGGGACGGGGACAACCCCGGGAAACUGGGGCUAAUCCCCGAUGGGUGAGGAGGCCUGGAAUGGUUCCUCGCCGAAAGGGCGCUGAAACCAUGCUUUUCAGCGUUGCCCAAGGACGGGGCCGCGGCCGAUCAGGUUGUUGGUGAGGUAACGGCUCACCAAGCCUUUGACCGGUACGGGCCGUGAGAGCGGGAGCCCGGAGAUGGGCACUGAGACAAGGGCCCAGGCCCUACGGGGUGCAGCAGGCGCGAAAACUCCGCAAUGUGCGAAAGCGUGACGGGGCUAUCCCGAGUGCCGUCCGCUGAGGAUGGCUUUUCCACGGUGUAAGGAGCCGUGGGAAUAAGGAGAGGGCAAGCCUGGUGUCAGCCGCCGCGGUAAUACCAGCUCUCCGAGUGGUAGGGAUGAUUAUUGGGCUUAAAGCGUCCGUAGCCGGCCCGGUAAGUCUCUCGUCAAAUCCAGCGACCUAAUCGUUGGACUGCGGGAGAUACUGUUGGGCUAGGGGGCGGGAGAAGCCGACGGUAUUCCCGGGGUAGGGGUGAAAUCCUAUAAUCCCGGGAGGACCACCAGUGGCGAAGGCGGUCGGCUAGAACGCGCUCGACGGUGAUGGACGAAAGCUGGGGGAGCGAACCGGAUUAGAUACCCGGGUAGUCCCAGCUGUAAACGAUGCGGGCUAGGUGUUGGGGGGGCUACGAGCCUCUUCAGUGCCGCAGCGAAGGCAUUAAGCCUGCCGCCUGGGGAGUACGGCCGCAAGGCUGAAACUUAAAGGAAUUGGCGGGGGAGCACCACAAGGGGUGAAGCUUGCGGUUU
rnacentral:rRNA from 1 species